GUGCUCACUUGCUUCAGCAGCACAUCUACUAAAAUUGGAAAGAUACAGAGAUUAGGAUGACCCCUGGGCAAGAAGAAAAAUAAGAGGGUAGUGUUCAAUCUUC